GGUUAAGUGACUAAGCGUACACGGUGGAUGCCUUGGCAGUCAGAGGCGAUGAAAGACGUAGUAACUUGCGAUAAGCCCAGAUUAGGUAGUAACAACCAUUUGAGUCUGGGAUUUCUGAAUGGGGAAACCCACGUGCAUAAGCACGUAUCCUUACCUGAAUACAUAGGGUAAGGAGGCGAACCGGGGGAACUGAAACAUCUAAGUACCCCGAGGAAAAGAAAUCAACCGAGAUUCCGAAAGUAGCGGCGAGCGAAAUUGGACUAGCCCUUAAGCUUUACACGCGUUAGACGAACGGUCUGGAAAGUCCGACGAUACAGGGUGAUAGUCCCGUAGUUGACGACGUGUGUUCAGUGAAAUCGAGUAGGGCGGGACACGUGAUAUCCUGUCUGAAUAUGGGGGGACCAUCCUCCAAGGCUAAAUACUACUGACUGACCGAUAGUGAACCAGUACCGUGAGGGAAAGGCGAAAAGAACCCCUGUGAGGGGAGUGAAAUAGAACCUGAAACCGUGUACGUACAAGCAGUAGGAGCACCUUCGUGGUGUGACUGCGUACCUUUUGUAUAAUGGGUCAGCGACUUAUAUUCAGUGGCAAGGUUAACCAUCUAGGGGAGCCGUAGGGAAACCGAGUCUUAACUGGGCGUUCAGUCUCUGGAUAUAGACCCGAAACCAGGUGAUCUAGCCAUGGGCAGGUUGAAGGUUGAGUAACAUCAACUGGAGGACCGAACCGACUAAUGUUGAAAAAUUAGCGGAUGACUUGUGGCUAGGGGUGAAAGGCCAAUCAAACCUGGAGAUAGCUGGUUCUCCCCGAAAGCUAUUUAGGUAGCGCCUCGGACGAAUACUACUGGGGGUAGAGCACUGUUAAGGCUAGGGGGUCAUCCCGACUUACCAACCCUUUGCAAACUCCGAAUACCAGUAAGUACUAUCCGGGAGACACACGGCGGGUGCUAACGUCCGUCGUGGAGAGGGAAACAACCCAGACCGCCAGCUAAGGUCCCAAAUUACUACUAAGUGGGAAACGAUGUGGGAAGGCUCAGACAGCCAGGAUGUUGGCUUAGAAGCAGCCAUCAUUUAAAGAAAGCGUAAUAGCUCACUGGUCGAGUCGGCCUGCGCGGAAGAUGUAACGGGGCUAAGUAGUAAACCGAAGCUGCGGCAAUAUACUUUUGUAUAUUGGGUAGGGGAGCGUUCUGUAAGCGGUUGAAGGUGUGUGGUAACGCAUGCUGGACGUAUCAGAAGUGCGAAUGCUGACAUGAGUAACGAUAAAGGGGGUGAAAAACCUCCUCGCCGGAAGACCAAGGGUUCCUGUCCAACGUUAAUCGGGGCAGGGUAAGUCGACCCCUAAGGCGAGGCCGAAAGGCGUAGUCGAUGGGAAACGGGUUAAUAUUCCCGUACUUCUUACAAUUGCGAUGGGGGGACGGAGAAGGCUAGGUGGGCCUGGCGACGGUUGUCCAGGUUCAAGUGCGUAGGCUUGAGAGUUAGGUAAAUCCGGCUCUUUCUAAGGCUGAGACACGACGUCGAGCACCUACGGGUGUGAAGUCAUUGAUGCCAUGCUUCCAGGAAAAGCCUCUAAGCUUCAGAUUGUAAGGAAUCGUACCCCAAACCGACACAGGUGGUCGGGUAGAGAAUACCAAGGCGCUUGAGAGAACUCGGGUGAAGGAACUAGGCAAAAUGGUACCGUAACUUCGGGAGAAGGUACGCUCUUGAUGGUGAAGUCCCUCGCGGAUGGAGCUGACGAGAGUCGCAGAUACCAGGUGGCUGCAACUGUUUAUUAAAAACACAGCACUGUGCAAAAUCGUAAGAUGACGUAUACGGUGUGACGCCUGCCCGGUGCCGGAAGGUUAAUUGAUGGGGUUAGACUUCGGUCGAAGCUCUUGAUCGAAGCCCCGGUAAACGGCGGCCGUAACUAUAACGGUCCUAAGGUAGCGAAAUUCCUUGUCGGGUAAGUUCCGACCUGCACGAAUGGCGUAAUGAUGGCCACGCUGUCUCCACCCGAGACUCAGUGAAAUUGAAAUCGCUGUGAAGAUGCAGUGUACCCGCGGCUAGACGGAAAGACCCCGUGAACCUUUACUACAGCUUGGCACUGAACAUUGACCCUACAUGUGUAGGAUAGGUGGGAGGCUUUGAAGCACGUACGCCAGUAUGUGUGGAGCCGUCCUUGAAAUACCACCCUUGUAGUGUUGAUGUUCUAACGUCGACCCCUAAUCGGGGUUGCGGACAGUGCCUGGUGGGUAGUUUGACUGGGGCGGUCUCCUCCCAAAGAGUAACGGAGGAGCACGAAGGUGGGCUAAUCACGGUUGGACAUCGUGAGGUUAGUGCAAUGGCAUAAGCCCGCUUGACUGCGAGAAUGACAAUUCGAGCAGGUGCGAAAGCAGGUCAUAGUGAUCCGGUGGUUCUGAAUGGAAGGGCCAUCGCUCAACGGAUAAAAGGUACUCCGGGGAUAACAGGCUGAUACCGCCCAAGAGUUCAUAUCGACGGCGGUGUUUGGCACCUCGAUGUCGGCUCAUCACAUCCUGGGGCUGAAGUCGGUCCCAAGGGUAUGGCUGUUCGCCAUUUAAAGUGGUACGCGAGCUGGGUUUAGAACGUCGUGAGACAGUUCGGUCCCUAUCUGCCGUGGGCGUUGGAAGAUUGAAGGGGGCUGCUCCUAGUACGAGAGGACCGGAGUGGACGAACCUCUGGUGUUCGGGUUGUGUCGCCAGACGCAUUGCCCGGUAGCUAAGUUCGGAAUCGAUAACCGCUGAAAGCAUCUAAGCGGGAAGCGAGCCCUGAGAUGAGUCUUCCCUGAUACUUUAAGUAUCCUAAAGGGUUGUCGGAGACUACGACGUUGAUAGGUCAGGUGUGUAAGUGCUGUGAGGCAUUGAGCUAACUGAUACUAAUUGCCCGUGAGGCUUAACCAU
rnacentral:rRNA from 1 species